GACGAACGCUGGCGGCGUGCCUAAUACAUGCAAGUCGAACGCUGAAGAGAGGAGCUUGCUCUUCUUGGAUGAGUUGCGAACGGGUGAGUAACGCGUAGGUAACCUGCCUGUUAGCGGGGGAUAACUAUUGGAAACGAUAGCUAAUACCGCAUAAAAUUUAUUAUUGCAUGAUACUUAAUUGAAAGAUGCAUCUGCAUCACUACCUGAUGGACCUGCGUUGUAUUAGCUAGUUGGUGAGGUAACGGCUCACCAAGGCGACGAUUCAUAGGCGACCUGAGAGGGUGGACGGCCAAACUGGGACUGAGACACGGCCCAGACUCCUAAGGGGAGGAACAGGAGGGAAUCUUCGGGAAUGGGGGGAAAGCUGGACGAGGAACGCCGCGUGAGUGAAGAAGGUUUUCGGAUCGGAAAGAUCGGUUGUAAGAGAAGAAAGGGAGUGAGAGUGGAAAGUGCACACUGUGACGGUAUCUUACCAGAAAGGGACGGCUAACUACGUG
rnacentral:rRNA from 1 species